rnacentral:rRNA from 1 species
UACGUAGGGUGCAAGCGUUAAUCGGAAUUACUGGGCGUAAAGCGUGCGCAGGCGGCUUUGCAAGACAGAUGUGAAAUCCCCGGGCUUAACCUGGGAACUGCCUUUGUGACUGUACGGCUAGAGUGUGUCAGAGGGGGGUAGAAUUCCACGUGUAGCAGUGAAAUGCGUAGAUAUGUGGAGGAAUACCGAUGGCGAAGGCAGCCCCCUGGGAUAACACUGACGCUCAUGCACGAAAGCGUGGGGAGCAAACAGG